UACGUAGGGUCCGAGCGUUGUCCGGAAUUACUGGGCGUAAAGAGCUCGUAGGUGGUUUGUCGCGUUGUCCGUGAAAACUCACAGCUCAACUGUGGGCGUGCGGGCGAUACGGGCAGACUGGAGUACUGCAGGGGAGACUGGAAUUCCUGGUGUAGCGGUGGAAUGCGCAGAUAUCGUAAGGAAGACCAGUGGCGAAGGCGAGUCUCUGGACAGCAACUGACGCUGAGGCACGAAGGCCAGGGGAGCAAACGGG
rnacentral:rRNA from 1 species